rnacentral:rRNA from 1 species
CCUACGGGAGGCAGCAGUGAGGAAUAUUGGUCAAUGGACGCAAGUCUGAACCAGCCAUGCCGCGUGCAGGAAGACGGCUCUAUGAGUUGUAAACUGCUUUUGUACGAGGGUAAAUCCCGAUACGUGUAUCGGGUUGAAAGUAUCGAACGAAUAAGGAUCGGCUAACUCCGUGCCAGAAGCCGCGGUAAUACGGAGGAUUCAAGCGUUAGCCGGAUUUAUUGGGUUUAAAGGGUGCGUAGGCGGUUCGGUAAGUUAGGGGUGAAAUCCCGGGGCUCAACUCCGGCACUGCCUCUGAUACUGUCGGGCUUGAGUGUAGUUGCGGUAGGCGGAAUGUAUGGUGUAGCGGUGAAAUGCAUAGAGAUCAUGCAGAACACCGAUUGCGAAGGCAGCUUACCAAACUACGACUGACGUUGAGGCACGAAAGCGUGGGGAGCAAACAGGAUUAGAUACCCUAGUAGUC